rnacentral:rRNA from 1 species
AGCGAACGUUUGCGGCGGGCUUAACACAUGCAAGUCGAACGGGCUGUUCCUUCGGGGGCAGUCAGUGGCGCACGGGUGCGUAACACGUAGGUAAUCAACCCUCUGGUUGGGGAUAACACUUCGAAAGGAGUGCUAAUACCCGGUAUGGCGCAGCGGUCUUCGGAUCGCGGCGAGAAAGACCCGCAAGGGUUGCCAGAGGACGAGCCUGCGGCCAUCAGCUAGUUGGCGAGGUAACGGCUCACCAAGGCGAAGACGGGUAGCUGGUCUGAGAGGAUGAUCAGCCACACUGGAACUGAGACACGGUCCAGACCCCUACGGGGGCAGCAGUGGGGAAUAUUGCGCAAUGGGCGAAAGCCUGACGCAGCCACGCCGCGUGAGCGAUGAAGGCC